CCUACGGGCGGCAGCAGUGGGGAAUAUUGGACAAUGGGGGCAACCCUGAUCCAGCCAUGCCGCGUGUGUGAAGAAGGCCCUCGGGUUGUAAAGCACUUUCAGUGAGGAAGAACGCCUGGUGGUUAAUACCCAUCAGGAAAGACAUCACUCACAGAAGAAGCACCGGCUAACUCCGUGCCAGCAGCCGCGGUAAUACGGAGGGUGCGAGCGUUAAUCGGAAUUACUGGGCGUAAAGCGCGCGUAGAUGGCUUGAUAAGCCGGUUGUGAAAGCCCCGGGCUCAACCUGGGAACGGCAUCCGGAACUGUCAAGCUAGAGUGCAGGAGAGGAAGGUAGAAUUCCCGGUGUAGCGGUGAAAUGCGUAGAGAUCGGGAGGAAUACCAGUGGCGAAGGCGGCCUUCUGGACUGACACUGACACUGAGGUGCGAAAGCGUGGGUAGCAAACAGGAUUAGAUACCCCUGUAGUC
rnacentral:rRNA from 1 species